AAGAAUCACCUUUCUUCCAGUCUCUAAUGCAUUGUUCUCACUUUCCUAUAAACCCUCACCAACAUUCUCCUCCCACUACUGGCUUCUCCAGUGCCCUUUAGGCUUUCUCUGACACUUUCUUCAAAGUCCUUUCAGCUUCUGCCCUCUGCUCAGUUCCAAAGACGCUCCCACAUUGGGUUUGAGAAAAGAGGACACAAAAGCAUGAAUAACAGGAGGAUGGAUAUAGAAUACCAGCAUCAGCAAGUGUACACGAUUUAAAGCACAUUUGGUAUCUAUUACCAAGCUGCCCUUCAGAGAGGUUGUCUCGUUACACAUUCCACAGCUGUGACUGAGAAACCGUCUUGUCGCAUUUGACAAUCCAGGUUACUAUCUAAAAACUUGAGUUUGUAAGAGCAACACGCCAUGAGAUAAUAUUCGUGCAAAUGUAACUGACAAAAGACUAACAUCCCAUAAUACUAGAGCACCUACAAACCAAGAAGAUAAACAUCCCAUUGGGAAAGUGUAAAAAUAUGAACAUAAAGUUUACAGAAGAAAAAACACAAAUGGCUCAUAAACACACAAAAAGAUGAUAUUGCUUCCUGGUAAUUGGGGAAAUGCAAACAAAAACUACAAUGAAAUAUCGUGGUAUCGUGUAUCAAAUUUGCAGAGCAUAAAAUAGAUUACAUUCGCAACCAGCAACUACAACCCAACCUUCAGCCUCACUGGACUUCUUGCCAUUCCCCAAACCAUAUCCACGCCCCUCUCCACAGGCUGUUCCUUCUGCCUGCAUGCCCUCGAUGGCACCAAGGGGGAUGGGCACACUAACACAACUGCUGGGAAUGGGAAAGUUUCAACCUCUUGGGAAUAAAAUCUAACAGUAUUUAUUGGAAUGUAACCUGUGCAUACUCCACAGCUGGGCCACUACCCUGCAAGAACCCCUCUGGCUGCUGCACAAAGCUCUUCUCUGCAUCCUUUUUUAUACUAGUGGAACCCUGGACACAGCCUGCAUAUGGAUCAAAAGGGCAGUGGUUAUAAAUAUACUAUGGUCCAUCUCUAGGCUAGACUGUGAUGCAGUGGUUAAAGCCAAGUAUUGCAGAAGAGUGAUUAAGCAUUCGUGCUCCAAAGCCAGAUAGCCUAGGUUUCAAUCCCAGCUUUGCCACUUACUUGCUGUGUGAUCUUGUGCAACUCACUUAGCCUUUCUGUGUCACAGUUUCUCCAUCUGUAUAACGGACGAUAACACUAGCCCCUACCUCAUAGGGUCAUUGUGAAGAGUAAAUGAAAUUAAUAUUGCCUAUGUCACAGAGUGAUCCUCCUCAAAAUCUAUUAGAUGAAAAAAGAAAUUUCUAGAAAUUAUCUACAUACAUAUUCUGAUGGGAUUUGUGUAAAGAAUUUAACCAACAAACCCAUAUUACACACACAUACACACACACUCACACAGACACACUCACACACACACACACGCACUCACGUGCGUAGAAGUAGAUCUAGGAAGAUCCAUGACACACAUGCGAGGCAGGUGAAUGGGGACAUUAAAAGGAGGACUUCCACGUUUAAUUCUGAAUGGUCUAUUUUAUUUGUGCAAUUUUUAAAAAUCAAAGCAAUAAAUCACUGUAAAAGAAACUAUUUCCGAGAGUGAUGCAUGCUCCUUGGGAAGCAUUGGGAAUUCUGCACUUCUGGGCCAGCCAGCUCCAACUGCAGCCAAUGUUUAAAAAAUAGCAUCUCUCCCUUCCUUCUAUAUGUACAGAUCUUCAGGGAUUUAGCAAAUUCUCUUAAAUAGCUAGAAGACCUUGCUGACUUCGAUGCAAAUAUUCUGGCCAGAGAACUGAGGUCCUUGGAUGAAACCCAAUAAUCAGAGGGGUCACAGUUUCCUUAGCCCAGGAGGAAGGCAGCUGGUGUCUCAGCAGAUGUUCCUAAAGGCCUGGCUUUUUCCACAUCUGUUCUGUGUGGUAGACAAGGAGAAGAGGAAGGGAGGAAGGGAACAGAGAGGAAGCAGAGAGAGCUGAAGAUUAAAACAAUACUGUACAGGUCCCCGCUAAAGAUGGACUCUCUGGCUGCCAGGAAAGGACUGAGAGAUAAAUAGGAGGAGCAUAAGAACCUGGGAGCUGGAGGCUGGUCCACCUCCCUCAGCUUCCAGGACCCAGAGGGAGGCAGGCACAGCCAGCCUUGGCCCUGUGGAACCAACACCUUCCAGCCAGGCUGCCAGGAAGCCAAAUUCCAAAUGUCUAAACUGUAUUUUGCACUUUUCCACAAGGUCAGCAAAAAUUAGAAAGUCAGCUAAUGCCAAGUGUUAGCUGGAGUAGGGGGGGAAGAGGAACCCUUGUUCUCUGCAAGGGAGUAUGAGAAGGUGCAGCCACUCCGGAGGCUGUCUGAUGGUGCUGGUUCAAGUCGACUGCGUAAGUCUUCUGCCCACAGCAAUGCCACUCCUCGGUAUGCGGCGCAGAGACACUUUUUGUCCAAAAGGGGCAUGUGGGGAGGUGCUCAUUCAGCAUUGUUUCUGGCAGGGGCGUUGGCCACUCAGGCACCCAUCCCUGGGGAAGACAGAAGUAAAUGUGGUGGGUGUACACCUUGGAGAAGCAUCUAUCAGUCAGAAGCAAGGAAGGGGAUGUCCACACAGAUUUAGGUAGCUUACGUUAGACACUAUGUUCAAAUUCAAGGACGCACAUCAGAUACACAGAAAGGCUGCCUGUGGGGGAAUUCGGACUGCAAGUGGAGAAUGGGGACUGUAGUGGAUUGAAGAUGGUCCCAAAUUCCUUGUCACUCCCUGCAUGGAGAGGUGAGGUGGGGUGCCCUGGGCAGGCUUGUGACUACUUGACCAACAGAAUACAGCAGAAGUGGUGCUUGUCAGUUUCCAGGCCUGGGCUUUUUAGAGGGUGGCAGUUCACUUCACCUCUCUUAGGACACUCUCUGGGAGCUUGAAGCUGCCAUGUAAUCAACUGCCCUAAUACCACCAGGUUGCUGAAACCAUGUUCAGGAGCUCUGUUUGUGGUCCUAGCUGAGCCCAGCCUUGCAGCCAGCCCCCACCAGCCAAUGUCACCAGACAUGUAAGUGAAGCCAUCCUGGGAUCUCUAGACCAGCCCAGCACACCUACAGGCUGAUUACCAUGGAGUGACCUCCGUUGGCACCACAUUCAUCAAGAGAAUCAACCAGCUGAGUCCUGCAAAUCCAAAUCCACACAACUGUAAUAUGAUAAAGUAUCUAACUUUGGGGGUAU
rnacentral:lncRNA from 10 species